UGGGGAAUAUUGCACAAUGGGGGGAAACCCUGAUGCAGCGACGCCGCGUGAGCGAUGAAGUAUUUCGGUAUGUAAAGCUCUAUCAGCAGGGAAGAAAAUGACGGUACCUGACUAAGAAG
rnacentral:rRNA from 1 species